rnacentral:rRNA from 1 species
GCAGCGGGAUUGAAGCUUGCUUCAAUUGCCGGCGACCGGCGCACGGGUGAGUAACGCGUAUCCAACCUUCCGUACACUCAGGGAUAGCCUUUCGAAAGAAAGAUUAAUACCUGAUGGUAUGAUGAGAUUGCAUGAUAGCAUCAUUAAAGAUUUAUCGGUGUACGAUGGGGAUGCGUUCCAUUAGGUAGUAGGCGGGGUAACGGCCCACCUAGCCAACGAUGGAUAGGGGUUCUGAGAGGAAGGUCCCCCACAUUGGAACUGAGACACGGUCCAAACUCCUACGGGAGGCAGCAGUGAGGAAUAUUGGUCAAUGGACUAGAUUCUGAACCAGCCAAGUAGCGUGAAGGAUGAAGGUCCUACGGAUUGUAAACUUCUUUUAUAAGGGAAUAAACCCUCCCACGUGUGGGAGCUUGUAUGUACCUUAUGAAUAAGCAUCGGCUAACUCCGUGCCAGCAGCCGCGGUAAUACGGAGGAUGCGAGCGUUAUCCGGAUUUAUUGGGUUUAAAGGGAGCGCAGACGGGUCGUUAAGUCAGCUGUGAAAGUUUGGGGCUCAACCUUAAAAUUGCAGUUGAUACUGGCGUCCUUGAGUGCGGUUGAGGUGUGCGGAAUUCGUGGUGUAGCGGUGAAAUGCUUAGAUAUCACGAAGAACUCCGAUUGCGAAGGCAGCACACUAAUCCGUAACUGACGUUCAUGCUCGAAAGUGUGGGUAUCAAACAGGAUUAGAUACCCUGGUAGUCCACACGGUAAACGAUGGAUACUCGCUGUUGGCGAUAUACUGUCAGCCGGCUUAGCGAAAGCGUUAAGUAUCCCACCUGGGGAGUACGCCGGCAACGGUGAAACUCAAAUGAAUUGAC